UACGGAGGGGGCUAGCGUUGUUCGGAAUUACUGGGCGUAAAGCGCACGUAGGCGGCUUGGUAAGUUAGAGGUGAAAGCCUGGAGCUCAACUCCAGAAUUGCCUUUAAGACUGCCGAGCUAGCAGGUGAGAGAGGUGAGUGGAAUUCCGAGUGUAGAGGUGAAAUUCGUAGAUAUUCGGAAGAACACCAGUGGCGAAGGCGGCUCACUGGCUCAUACUGGACGCUCAGGUGCGAAAGCGUGGGGAGCAAACAGG
rnacentral:rRNA from 1 species